rnacentral:rRNA from 1 species
GACGAACGCUGGCGGCGUGCUUAACACAUGCAAGUCGAACGGAAAGGCCCUGCUUGCAGGGUACUCGAGUGGCGAACGGGUGAGUAACACGUGGGUGAUCUGCCCUGCACUUCGGGAUAAGCCUGGGAAACUGGGUCUAAUACCGGAUAGGAGCCAUUUUUAGUGUGAUGGUUGGAAAGUUUUUUUCGGUGUAGGAUGAGCUCGCGGCCUAUCAGCUUGUUGGUGGGGUAAUGGCCUACCAAGGCGGCGACGGGUAGCCGGCCUGAGAGGGUGGACGGCCACAUUGGGACUGAGAUACGGCCCAGACUCCUACGGGCGGCAGCAGUGGGGAAUAUUGCACAAUGGGCGCAAGCCUGAUGCAGCGACGCCGCGUGGGGGAUGACGGCCUUCGGGUUGUAAACUCCUUUCGCUAGGGACGAAGCUUUUUGUGACGGUACCUAGAUAAGAAGCACCGGCUAACUACGUG